AUGGAAUCUGGGCUGAGCUGGAUUUUUGUUGUUGCUCUGUUACAAGGUGUCCAAUGUGAGGUGCAGCUGGUGGAGUCUGGGGGAGGCUUGGUCCAGCCUGGAGGGUCCCUGAGACUCUCCUGUGCAGCCUCUGGAUUCACCUUCAGCAGCUUUGCAAUGAGCUGGGUCCGCCAGGCUCCAGGGAAGGGGCUGGAGUGGGUCUCAGCCAUUAGUGGUAAUGGUGGUAGCACAUACUACGCAGACGCCGUGAAGGGCCGGUUCACCAUCUCCAGAGACAAUGGCAAGAACUCACUGUAUCUGCAAAUGAACAGUCUGAGAGUCGAAGACACAGCCAUGUACUACUGUGCAAGAGACACAGUGGCCACAGGAGAAGGGUAA